UACGUAGGGUGCGAGCGUUAAUCGGAAUUACUGGGCGUAAAGCGUGCGUAGGCGGUUCUCCAAGUCCGUUGUGAAAGCCCCGGGCUCAACCUGGGAAUGGCAGUGGAAACUAGGGGACUGGAAUCUGGCAGAGGGGGUGGAAUGCCGCGGUGUAGCAGGUGAAAUGCGUAGAGAUGCGGCGGAACACCGAUGGCGAAGGCAGCCCCCUGGGCUGAGAUUGACGCUCAGGCACGAAAGCGUGGGGAGCAAACAGGAUUAGA
rnacentral:rRNA from 1 species